UUCCAAGUCUAAGCCACUUUUAUGGUUGGAGCAAAGAGUGGAGCCCUUCUCUUUUCAUGGUAGAUGAGCGGACCGUGUGUUUAACAACGGAAACGGAGGAGAACCGUGGAUCCUGGACUGAUGAGAGCCCUGUAUUGUGCCUUGUGCCUGGAGUGUGUGUGAACUGUGAGCCUCUGGCCGGGUCUUUUUCUUUUCCUCGUCUUUUCCUUUUGUUUUAAUUCCCUUCUUUGUUAUGGACUCCUGUGCUGACCUUGAAGAAAUCUUCUACUGGGGACUCAUCUUGUGUCUGUAAGGUAACACGGGACCUCAGUGGUUGUGGCGGGCCAACCCAAGGAAAGAACCAGAGACUCUGAUUUAGAUAGAGACUGAUUUAUUUGCGGAUCGUGGUUGAUAUUUCAUUGUUGAAGAGCUG